UUAGACACUCGAGAUUCGCGAAACUUGCAGAGGGGCCAGUUAUCUCUCUAAAUUGUCACGUUGAAGCAGCAAGUCCCCCAAUUCGAUGAAAAAAGGUUGCGUAAUUCGCGUGAACUGCCGUCAUUCACUUGAUCACUCGAGCGCUGCCGCAGGCCCUCCCAUCAUCUCGUUCAGGAUCUAAUUGGUUUGUUUGAAGAUCAGAUACCUUCACCUUGUUUGGAUCGUAAGCAACAGGUUUUUUGGAAGUGGAGCAGCAUGCACAAAUUUUCUGCAUAAAUUCCAUUCUCAGAGCUUGAUUCUCCUUCAUUAGCUGCUGAGCUUGCUGCCUAAGCUUUUCGUUCUCUUCAAUAAUUUGGAGGUUCUUUAAGUACUCGGAGUUCGUUUCCAUGCUGGAGUGCUUGUCUUUGCCUGAAAAGAAAGAGGAAAAAACAAUUGUCAUUUGUCAAGCAUACUGUUAUCUUAAUUAAUAAACAUAUAGUAUCUGCGAAAGUGUGCGUCUGUCUGUGCGCUUUGUGGAGAUUAUAUUAUGUGAAGGGAAUAAAUGCAAUUGAUAUGGGCAUAUGAGAGGGAUGAAUUUGUAAACCUCUAUCGGUGAUAGUAUGCUGUUAUGAGCUGAGAUGCGCUAAGAAUGCAUGUAAAUGUCUCUUUUUAUAGGCCAGACAGGGCACAUCUAACAGGGGCACGAGACAUACGUGUGACUAAUUUAUAUUUUAUUUAUUUA